UCUAUCUAAGUUUUGUGGGAUACUCCAACAUGGAUUCUAAGUGAGUUCUAUCCCUACUUCAUAUGGGCUGAGUGUAUUUGAUGGUUUUGGUGCACAAUUGGGAGAUUGGUGUUGCUUGAGGAGCUUUGGUGAGGCUUGGGGCUAAGGUUGGUGGAGACUUCCAAAGAAGAG